rnacentral:rRNA from 1 species
UAAGCGGAGGAAAAGAAACUAACAAGGAUUCCCCUAGUAACGGCGAGUGAACCGGGAAGAGCUCAAAUUUGAAAUCUGGCGUCCUUCGGGCGUCCGAGUUGUAAUCUAUAGAAACGUUUUCCGUGCCGGACCGUGUCGAAGUCCCUUGGAACAGGGUAUCAGAGAGGGUGACAAUCCCGUACUUGACACGACGACCGGUGCUCUGUGAUACGUUCUCUACGAGUCGAGUUGUUUGGGAAUGCAGCUCAAAAUGGGUGGUAAACUCCAUCUAAAGCUAAAUAUUGGUGGGAGACCGAUAGCGAACAAGUACCGUGAGGGAAAGAUGAAAAGCACUUUGGAAAGAGAGUUAAACAGUAUGUGAAAUUGUUGAAAGGGAAACGAUUGAAGUCAGUCGUGACCGUUGGGUUCAGCCGGUUCUGCCGGUCUACUCCCUUCGGUCGGGUCAACAUCGGUUUUGACCGGCGGAUAAGGAAGGGAGGAAUGUGGCACCCUCCGGGGUGUGUUAUAGCCUCUCGUCGCAUACGUCGGUCGAGACCGAGGAACGCAGCUCGCCUUUAUGGCCGGGGUUCGCCCACGUCCGAGCUUAGGAUGUUGACAUAAUGGCUUUAAACGACCCGUCUUGAAACACG